UGCGUAGGUGGCGGGGUAAGUCAGGUGUGAAAUCUCGAGGCUCAACCUCGAAACUGCACUUGAUACUGCCUUGCUGGAGUACUGGAGAGGAGAUUGGAAUUUACGGUGUAGCAGUGAAAUGCGUAGAUAUCGUAAGGAAGACCAGUGGCGAAGGCGAAUCUCUGGACAGUUACUGACACUGAGGCACGAAGGCCAGGGGAGCAAACG
rnacentral:rRNA from 1 species